AUGCAUGUUUCUAAGGUUUAUGGCUGGUAGUAAUCAUGGGGUCUCCAACUGCAUGGGAAAAUAACCUGAAGAAACUUUGACAACACAGGUCAGCAUAGAAAAUGUAGUUGUCACUCAUUUUUCGUAUAUUU
rfam:Erinaceus europaeus unplaced genomic scaffold scaffold00863, whole genome shotgun sequence